GAUGAACGCUGGCGGCGUGCCUAAUACAUGCAAGUCGAGCGAACAGGCGAGGAGCUUGCUCCUCUGACGUUAGCGGCGGACGGGUGAGUAACACGUGGAUAACCUACCUAUAAGACUGGGAUAACUUCGGGAAACCGGAGCUAAUACCGGAUAAUAUAUUGAACCGCAUGGUUCAAUAGUGAAAGACGGUUUUGCUGUCACUUAUAGAUGGAUCCGCGCCGCAUUAGCUAGUUGGUAAGGUAACGGCUUACCAAGGCAACGAUGCGUAGCCGACCUGAGAGGGUGAUCGGCCACACUGGAACUGAGACACGGUCCAGACUCUUACGGGAGGCAGCAGUAGGGAAUCUUCCGCAAUGGGCGAAAGCCUGACGGAGCAACGCCGCGUGAGUGAUGAAGGUCUUCGGAUCGUAAAACUCUGUUAUUAGGGAAGAACAAAUGUGUAAGUAACUAUGCACGUCUUGACGGUACCUAAUCAGAAAGCCACGGCUAACUACGUG
rnacentral:rRNA from 1 species